rnacentral:rRNA from 1 species
CCUACGGGGGGCAGCAGUGGGGAAUAUUGCACAAUGGGGGAAACCCUGAUGCAGCGACGCCGCGUGAGUGAAGAAGUAUUUCGGUAUGUAAAGCUCUAUCAGCAGGAAAGAAAAUGACGGUACCUGACUAAGAAGCCCCGGCUAACUACGUGCCAGCAGCCGCGGUAAUACGUAGGGGGCAAGCGUUAUCCGGAUUUACUGGGUGUAAAGGGAGCGUAGACGGUGAAGCAAGUCUGAAGUGAAAGGCGGGGGCUCAACCCCCGGACUGCUUUGGAAACUGUUUGACUGGAGUGCAGGAGAGGUAAGUGGAAUUCCUAGUGUAGCGGUGAAAUGCGUAGAUAUUAGGAGGAACACCAGUGGCGAAGGCGGCUUACUGGACUGUAACUGACGUUGAGGCUCGAAAGCGUGGGGAGCAAACAGGAUUAGAUACCCUUGUAG